GUGGGGAAUAUUGGGCAAUGGUCGGAAGACUGACCCAGCCAUGUCGCGUGCAGGAAGACGGCCCUCUGGGUUGUAAACUGCUUUUAUCUGGGAAGAAAAAGGCCAUGCGUGGCAAAUUGCCGGUACCAGAUGAAUAAGCACCGGCUAACUCCGUGCCAGCAGCCGCGGUAAUACGGAGGGUGCGAGCGUUGUCCGGAUUUAUUGGGUUUAAAGGGUGCGUAGGCGGCUGAUUAAGUCAGCGGUGAAAGACUUCGGCUUAACCGGAGCAGUGCCGUUGAUACUGGUUGGCUUGAGUGUCGGAGGGGUACAUGGAAUUGAUGGUGUAGCGGUGAAAUGCAUUGAUACCAUCAGGAACACCGAUAGCGAAGGCAUUGUACUGGCCGACAACUGACGCUGAUGCACGAAAGUGUGGGGAUCGAACAGGAUUAGAAACCCUGGUAGUCC
rnacentral:rRNA from 1 species